CAGUCGCCACGGUAAUACGAAGGGGGCUAGCGUUGUUCGGAAUCACUGGGCGUAAAGGGUGCGUAGGCGGAUUCUUAAGUCUGAUGUGAAAGCCCCCGGCUCAACCGGGGAGGGUCAUUGGAAACUGGGAAACUUGAGUGCAGAAGAGGAGAGUGGAAUUCCACGUGUAGCGGUGAAAUGCGUAGAGAUGUGGAGGAACACCAGUGGCGAAGGCGACUCUCUGGUCUGUAACUGACGCUGAGGAGCGAAAGCGUGGGGAGCGAACAGGAUUAGAUACCCCUGUAGUCCCUGUCUCUUAUAA
rnacentral:rRNA from 1 species